GUUUAGUUGUGUGUGGAUGAUGUUCAACACAAAGGACUGAUGUAUUUAACCUGUGUGUGGAUGGUGUUCAGCACCAAGGACAGGCAUGUUUAGUU
rfam:Branchiostoma floridae genomic scaffold BRAFLscaffold_204, whole genome shotgun sequence.